AGUGAACGCUGGCGGCAGGCCUAACACAUGCAAGUCGAGCGGCAGCGCGGGGGCAACCCUGGCGGCGAGCGGCGGACGGGUGAGGAAUUCGUCGGAAUCUGCCUUUUUGUGGGGGAUAACGUAGGGAAACUUACGCUAAUACCGCAUACGUCCUACGGGAGAAAGUGGGGGACCGCAAGGCCUCACGCAGAAAGAUGAGCCGACGACCGAUUAGCUAGUUGGUGGGGUAAAGGCACACCAAGGGGACGAUCGGUAGGUGGUCUGAGAGGAUGAUCAGCCACACUGGGACUGAGACACGGCCCAGACUCCUACAGGAGGCAGCAGUGGGGAAUAUUGGACAAUGGGCGCAAGCCUGAUCCAGCCAUGCCGCGUGUGUGAAGAAGGCCUUCGGGUUGUAAAGCACUUUUGUCCGGAAAGAAAUCCCUGGAGCUAAUACCUUCGGGGGAUGACGGUACCGGAAGAAUAAGCACCGGCUAACUUCGUG
rnacentral:rRNA from 1 species